rnacentral:ncRNA from 1 species
AUUGCGUAUGAGCAGGCGAUUGGCGUAAAUGCCGGUGGGGCCGGGCCGGGAAACCGGCAGCAGGAGAAUACCUGUGGGACUGUA